rnacentral:lncRNA from 1 species
CACUCACUCACUCACUCACUCACUCACUCACUCACCCCAUAUGUACAUGUUGGUGUUACGGCAGUUAACACUGAGAUCGGUCAGUGUAGCAAGACAGGAGAAGAUGUCUAGACAUGUUGGGGAGCCAUCUGAAAAUUCUACAAGGUCAAAUGAAAGUUUGUUUUUGUUUGUUGCAAUGUUGAUGCAAUUGGAACAACACUUUGUGUUGUUGUUGUUGUUGUUUAUUGUGUAUUAUGUCCAUGCUCUGUUCUGCUAGCAUUAUACAAGCAUCAUACUCAUUACUUAGCAAUAUAAUGUUUAUUAAUCAUAUUUAUCACCAAGUGUGUAUAAGUGUGUUUGUAUAUAGAAUAACAUGGUUAAAUAUAUUUUGUCGUAUCUAAUUUAAAUGCUAUAAAUAUUAUUUAACUUAAUGAUUUGUCACAAGUUGAUGAAUUUUUUUUAAAAACAUGCUUCUUGCAGUAUUUCAAGAUUUAAAAUCUUUUGUAUAUUAUUGCAAUAUGGGUUAUUUUUCUCCAUGUACAAGUCUAAGGCUAAGUAGUGCUCAGUUUUGUCCAUUGUUUGUGCCCGAGGGCUAACAUUACAGGUUUUAUUACAAGAUUCAUCCUGGUUAGGCAUCUCUGUACCAUAUCCAGUUGUGUGUCACCAAUGUUUUAACACCUGCGACAGACUUUCCUCCCUCACAAGCUCACAUGUAGUGAUAUAGCACUUCAUGUACAGAAGUGACUCAUAGCAGUGACAGGAUCCACUGAUUGGAGCUUCAAAUAUCAGACCUGACAUCGGUGACAAAAAUCAAACACACAAACCACACCUUGGAAGGUGAUCGAAGUCAAACACACAAACCACACCUUAGAAGGUGACCGAAGUCAAACACACAAACCACACCUUGGAAGGUGACCGAAGUCAAACACACAACCCACACCUUGGAAGUCAACCGAAAUCAAACACACAAACCACAAUUUAGAAGGUGACCGAAGUCAAACACACAAACCACACCUUGGAAGGUGACCGAAGUCAAACACACAAACCACACCUUGGAAGGUGACUGAAAUCAAACACACAAACCACACCUUGGAAGGUGACCGAAGUCAAACACACAAACCACACCUUGGAAGGUGACCGAAGUCAAACACACAAAUCACACCUUGGAAGGUGA